CAGUCAGUGGAAGAAGUGAUUGGGCCAUGGGCUUGUCAAAGCUCGGGCCCUGGAAAGUCGCCGGGCCACCAUUCCGCAGAGAUGCGGCCUCGGUAACGAGCGAGUCUUGUGCUUGGAGAAGACAUAAUCGGGCUGAGACACGUGUAUGGAGCCUGUCUCUUAAGCCAAGUUAUUAUGGCCAAUUUAACAGUAAUUCACUUCCCUAACGGGACAACAGAACGGGGCUUACUUCCACUGACA
rnacentral:RNase_MRP_RNA from 2 species